UCUCGGGUCGUCUAAUGGCAGGACAACGCCCUUUGGAGGCGCAUGUGGAGGUUCGACUCCUCCCCUGAGAA
rnacentral:tRNA from 1 species